GACGAACGCUGGCGGCGUGCUUAACACAUGCAAGUCGAACGAAGAGCGAUGGAAGCUUGCUUCUCUCAAUCUUAGUGGCGAACGGGUGAGUAACGCGUAAUCAACCUGCCCUUCAGAGGGGGACAACAGUUGGAAACGACUGCUAAUACCGCAUACGAUCUAAUCUCGGCAUCGAGGAUAGAUGAAAGGUGGCCUCUACAUGUAAGCUCUCACUGAAGGAGGGGAUUGCGUCUGAUUAACUAGUUGGAGGGGUAACGGCCCAACAAGGCGAGGAUCAGUAGCCGGUCGAGGAGGAUGAACGGCCACAUUGGGACGGAGACACGGCCCAGACUCCUACGGGAGGCAGCAGUGGGGAAUCUUCCGCAAUGGACGAAAGUCUGACGGAGCAACGCCGCGUGAGUGAUGACGGCCUUCGGGUUGUAAAGCUCUGUUAAUCGGGACGAAAGGCCUUCUUGCGAACAGUUAGAAGGAUUGACGGUACCGGAAGAGAAAGCCACGGCUAACUACGUG
rnacentral:rRNA from 1 species